rnacentral:lncRNA from 1 species
AAACCAUCACAGUCCCUAUAUGUGUUUAUUCAAAUUUAUUCCUUCUGACUUUCUUUGGGGGGACUCCCUCUUCCUCCAUGAAGUUCAGGAAAGCUACCUGAGGAUGAAGCCAAUAUAAAGAAAGUCGUACAAGGACAGGUGCUCUCUUUACGUGGACCCACCUGGGCUCUGCACCAACACUGAGUGAGCGUCUCUUUCCAGCCUCGUCUAUGGAGAAAGAUGUGGAGAUGAACCCACACAAGGGAGUUUCCAAGCUACAGGGAGAGCUCCUGGGGUACCCAGGAGAGCAUGUGCCCUUCUGCAAGGAGAGCCCUAUCUGCUCCAUCCUUGGGUUUAAACAGCUCCUGCACUGGCAAGGAAAAAUGAGCAUAUGGUAACUUUAAAAGGAGCCAAAUUAUAAACUUCAGAUACUAAACGCUCCAAGUUUUAAGGCUUGCUAAUCGUGCUGGACUUCCAUACUGUUUUCUUAUGUCUUGUAUCAUGCAGUAAUAAAAACAAUUCCACUGAGUUAAGGUUUGGAACA